rnacentral:rRNA from 1 species
AUUGAACGCUGGCGGCAUGCCUUACACAUGCAAGUCGAACGGCAGCACGGGAGCAAUCCUGGUGGCGAGUGGCGAACGGGUGAGUAAUAUAUCGGAACGUGCCCAGUCGUGGGGGAUAACGUAGCGAAAGCUACGCUAAUACCGCAUACGAUUUAUGGAUGAAAGCGGGGGAUCGCAAGACCUCGCGCGAUUGGAGCGGCCGAUAUCAGAUUAGGUAGUUGGUGGGGUAAAGGCCCACCAAGCCUGCGAUCUGUAGCUGGUCUGAGAGGACGACCAGCCACACUGGAACUGAGACACGGUCCAGACUCCUACGGGAGGCAGCAGUGGGGAAUCUUGGACAAUGGGCGCAAGCCUGAUCCAGCAAUGCCGCGUGCAGGAUGAAGGCCUUCGGGUUGUAAACUGCUUUUGUACGGAGCGAAAAGGCUCUCUCUAAUACAGGGGGCUCAUGACGGUACCGUAAGAAUAAGCACCGGCUAACUACGUGCCAGCCGCCGCGGUAA